rnacentral:rRNA from 1 species
UAGCCACGGUAAUACCAGCUCCGCGAGUGGUCGGGGCUAUUAUUGGGCCUAAAGCGCCCGUAGCCGGCCCGGUAAGUCAUCCCCUUAAAGACCCCGGCUCAACCGGGGGAAGUGGGGGUGGGAUACUACCCGGGCGUAGGGGCGGGGAGGAGGGCCGAGCGGGUACGUCCCGGACGUAGGGGCGGAAAUACCUCAGAUCCCGGGACGGACCACCAGUGGCGAAAGAC